rnacentral:rRNA from 1 species
AUUGAACGCUGGCGGUAUGCCUAACACAUGCAAGUCGAACGAGGUAGCAAUACCUAGUGGCGGACGGGUGAGGAAUACGUAGGGAUCUGCCCUUAAGUGGGGGAUAACCCGGGGAAACCCGGAUUAAUACCGCAUGAUCUCGCAAGAGCAAAGAGGGGGACCGCAAGGCCUCUCGCUUUUGGAGGAACCUACGUCGGAUUAGCUAGUUGGUGAGGUAAUGGCUCACCAAGGCGACGAUCCGUAACUGGUCUGAGAGGAUGAUCAGUCACACCGGAACUGAGACACGGUCCGGACUCCUACGGGAGGCAGCAGUGGGGAAUAUUGGACAAUGGGCGAAAGCCUGAUCCAGCAAUACCGCGUGUGUGAAGAAGGCCUGGUGU